rnacentral:lncRNA from 1 species
UUUAGGAUUAGGAUUUGGUUAGGAUUUGAUUUAAGAUUAGGAUUUGGUUUAGGAUCAGGGUUUGGUUAGGAUUUGAUUUAAGAUUAGGAUUUGGUUAGGAUUUGUUUUUGAAUUUAGGAUUAGGAUUAGGAUUUGAUUUAGGAUUUAGGAUUUGAUUAGGAUUUGAUUAAGAUUUGAUUUAAAAUUUAGGAUUUUAUUUGAGUUUGUUUAGGAUUUAAGAUUUAGUUAAUUUUUGGCUUAAAGUUUGAAUGAAGUAAGAUUUCAACUAGGAUUAAAUUAAGAUUGAAUUAAGAUGUAUUUGAGAUAUGUUUGUAAUCAUUCUAAUAUUUCUUUAAGAUUUCUUAUUGUUUCUUUAGAAUUCUUUUGAGGUUUCUUUGAAUUUAAUUAAAGCUUAUUUAGAAUUUUUAGUAUUUUAUUAUAAUGAAGAUUUUUUUUUGCAAUUUCCAUUCUACCUUCCACAACAGGUGUCCAGAGCAUUUUCAAGCAAGACU